CCUUCGGGUCGUAGAGCUCUGUGGGGAGGGACGAAUAAGUCUGGUGUUAAUAACACCGGGCCCUGACGGUACCUCCUUAGCAAGCACCGGCUAACCCUGUGC
rnacentral:rRNA from 1 species